AUGUAGAGCAAUCUCUGUCUAAGUAGGGAUAAAUUACUCUUAAAAAAAAAAUCCUAGAUAGUUUUCCCUUCAAGUAAAGCGUCUUGU
rnacentral:pre_miRNA from 1 species